rnacentral:rRNA from 1 species
CGCGAAUUCGCCCUUGUGCCAGCAGCCGCGGUAAUACGUAGGGUGCGAGCGUUGUCCGGAAUUACUGGGCGUAAAGAGCUCGUAGGUGGUUUGUCGCGUUGUUCGUGAAAACUCACAGCUUAACUGUGGGCGUGCGGGCGAUACGGGCAGACUAGAGUACUGCAGGGGAGACUGGAAUUCCUGGUGUAGCGGUGGAAUGCGCAGAUAUCAGGAGGAACACCGGUGGCGAAGGCGGGUCUCUGGGCAGUAACUGACGCUGAGGAGCGAAAGCGUGGGGGGCGAACAGGAUUAGAUACCCUGGUAGUCCACGCCGUAAACGGUGGGUACUAGGUGUGGGUUCCUUCCUUGGGAUCCGUGCCGUAGCUAACGCAUUAAGUACCCCGCCUGGGGAGUACGGCCGCAAGGCUAAAACUCAAAGGAAUUGACGGGGGCCCGCACAAGCGGCGGAGCAUGUGGAUUAAUUCGAUGCAACGCGAAGAACCUUACCUGGGUUUGACAUGCACAGGACGCCGGCAGAGAUGUCGGUUCCCUUGUGGCCUGUGU